CCUACGGGAGGCAGCAGUGAGGAAUAUUGGUCAAUGGGCGCGAGCCUGAACCAGCCAAGUAGCGUGAAGGAUGACUGCCCUACGUGUUGUAAACUUCUUUUAUCAAGGAAUAAAGUGAGGCACGUGUGCCUUUUUGUAUGUCCUUUAUGAAUAAGGAUCGGCUAACUCCGUGCCAGCAGCCGCGGUAAUACGGAGGGUCCGAGCGUUAUCCGGAUUUAGUGGGUUUAAAGGGGGGGUAGAGGGGUUGUUAAGUCAGUUGUGAAAGUUUGCGGCUCAACCGUAAAAGUGCAAUUGAGACUGGCAGGCUUGAGUACAGGUGAGGUAGGCGGAAUGCGUGGUGUAGCGGUGAAAUGCUUAGAUAUCACGAAGAACUCCGAUUGCGAAGGCAGCGUACUAAACUGACACUGACAUUGAUGCUCGAAAGUGUGGGUAUCAAACAGGAUUAGAUACCCUAGUAGUC
rnacentral:rRNA from 1 species